GGGGCUGUCCUGGUUUCGACGUGGGUUCGGAAUCGGUGUGGUGCAUGUCGAGCUUGAGUCACGCUCGUAAAUCUCGAUUUAAAAAACUAACUGCAAACGACGAACGUUUCGCACUCGCUGCUUAAUUGCCAGUGAGCCUUGCAACAGUUGGCCGAUGGGCUGGGCAAGGGGGUUCUGAGCAAUCAGCGCCUCCCGGCUGCAAGGAUAAUUACAUGGGCUGGCUCUGAUCCGGGUACCUUGGGUUGGGGUGAGAAAAUAGGGUGCUGGCG
rnacentral:tmRNA from 1 species